CCUACGUGAGGCAGCAGUGAGGAAUAUUGGUCAAUGGACGAGAGCCUGAACCAGCGAAGCAGCGUGAAGGAUGACUGCCCUAUGGGCUGUAAACUUCUUUUAUAAAGGAAUAAAACGAGGCACGUGUGCCUUUUUGCAUGUACUUUAUGAAUAAGGAUCGGCUAACUCCGGGCCAGCAGCCGCGGUACUACGGAGGAUCCGAGCGUUAUCCGGAUUUAUUGGGUUUAAAGGGAGCGUAGAUGGGUUGUUAAGUCAGUUGUGAAAGUUUGCGGCUCAACCGUAAAAUUGCAAUUGAUACUGGCAGACUUGAGUACAGAUGAGGUAGGCGGAAUUCGUGGUGUAGCGGUGAAAUGCUUAGAUAUCACGAAGAACCCCGAUUGCGAAGGCAGCUUACUGAACUGUGACUGACAUUGAGGCUCGAAAGUGUGGGUAUCAAACAGGAUUAGAUACCCGUGUAGUC
rnacentral:rRNA from 1 species